GAUGAACGCUAGCGGCAAGCUUAAUACAUGCAAGUCGAGGGGCAGCAUGAUUGUAGCAAUACAAUUGAUGGCGACCGGCAAACGGGUGCGGAACACGUACACAACCUUCCAACAAGUGGGGGAUAGCCCAGAGAAAUUUGGAUUAAUACCCCGUAACAUAGCGAUGUGGCAUCACAUUGCUAUUAUAGACUUUUCGCUUGUUGAUGGGUGUGCGGCUGAUUAGAUAGUUGGCGGGGUAACGGCCCACCAAGUCUACGAUCAGUAGCUGAUGUGAGAGCAUGAUCAGCCACACGGGCACUGAGACACGGGCCCGACUCCUACGGGAGGCAGCAGUAAGGAAUAUUGGACAAUGGACGCAAGUCUGAUCCAGCCAUGCCGCGUGAAGGAUUAAGGUCCUCUGGAUUGUAAACUUCUUUUAUAAGGGACGAAAAAAGGCUUUUCUAAGUCGUCUGACGGUACCUUAUGAAUAAGCACCGGCUAACUCCGUGCCAGCCGCCGCCGUAAGAC
rnacentral:rRNA from 1 species